UCCAAAGGCGAGUACUUAGCAUUUCCUCUC
rnacentral:piRNA from 1 species